ACGCGAGCUGGGUUCAGAACGUCGUGAGACAGUUCGGUCCCUAUCCGUCGCAGGCGUAGGAAAUUUGAGAAGACCUGUCCUUAGUACGAGAGGACCGGGAUGGACGUACCUCUGGUGUACCAGUUGUCCUGCCAAGGGCAUGGCUGGGUAGCUAUGUACGGAAUGGAUAAGCGCUGAAAGCAUCUAAGCGCGAAGCCAACUUCAAGAUAAGAUUUCCCACCGCAAGGGUAAGACCCCAGAAAGACUAUCUGGUUGAUAGGUCGAAGGUGUAAGUGCAGCAAUGUAUUUAGCUUAUCGAUACUAAUAGGUCGAGGACUUGACCAA
rnacentral:rRNA from 1 species